UACGUAGGGACCAAGCGUUGUUCGGAUUUACUGGGCGUAAAGGGCGCGUAGGCGGCGAAUCAAGUCAGUUGUGAAAUCUCCGAGCUUAACUCGGAACGGUCAACUGAUACUGUUUUGCUAGAGUGCAGAAAGGGCAACCGGAAUUCUUGGUGUAGCGGUGAAAUGCGUAGAUAUCAAGAGGAACACCUGAGGCGAAGGCGGGUUGCUAGGCUGACACUGACGCUGAAGCGCGAAAGCUAGGGUAGCAAACGGG
rnacentral:rRNA from 1 species